rnacentral:rRNA from 1 species
AUUGAACGCUGGCGGCAGGCCUAACACAUGCAAGUCGAACGGUAGCACAGAGAGCUUGCUCUCGGGUGACGAGUGGCGGACGGGUGAGUAAUGUCUGGGAAACUGCCCGAUGGAGGGGGAUAACUACUGGAAACGGUAGCUAAUACCGCAUAAUGUCGCAAGACCAAAGAGGGGGACCUUCGGGCCUCUUGCCAUCGGAUGUGCCCAGAUGGGAUUAGCUUGUAGGUGAGGUAACGGCUCACCUAGGCGACGAUCCCUAGCUGGUCUGAGAGGAUGACCAGCCACACUGGAACUGAGACACGGUCCAGACUCCUACGGGAGGCAGCAGUGGGGAAUAUUGCACAAUGGGCACAAGCCUGAUGCAGCCAUGCCGCGUGUAUGAAGAAGGCCUUCGGGUUGUAAAGUACUUUCAGCGGGGAGGAAGGGAGUGAGGUUAAUAACCUUAUUCAUUGACGUUACCCGCAGAAGAAGCACCGGCUAACUCCGUGCCAGCAGCCGCGGUAAUACGGAGGGUGCAAGCGUUAAUCGGAAUUACUGGGCGUAAAGCGCACGCAGGCGGUCUGUCAAGUCGGAUGUGAAAUCCCCGGGCUCAACCUGGGAACUGCAUUCGAAACUGGCAGGCUGGAGUCUUGUAGAGGGGGGUAGAAUUCCAGGUGUAGCGGUGAAAUGCGUAGAGAUCUGGAGGAAUACCGGUGGCGAAGGCGGCCCCCUGGACAAAGACUGACGCUCAGGUGCGAAAGCGUGGGGAGCAAACAGGAUUAGAUACCCUGGUAGUCCACGCUGUAAACGAUGUCGACUUGGAGGUUGUUCCCUUGAGGAGUGGCUUCCGGAGCUAACGCGUUAAGUCGACCGCCUGGGGAGUACGGCCGCAAGGUUAAAACUCAAAUGAAUUGACGGGGGCCCGCACAAGCGGUGGAGCAUGUGGUUUAAUUCGAUGCAACGCGAAGAACCUUACCUACUCUUGACAUCCAGAGAACUUAGCAGAGAUGCUUUGGUGCCUUCGGGAACUCUGAGACAGGUGCUGCAUGGUUGUCGUCAGCUCGUGUUGUGAAAUGUUGGGUUAAGUCCCGCAACGAGCGCAACCCUUAUCCUUUGUUGCCAGCGGUCCGGCCGGGAACUCAAAGGAGACUGCCAGUGAUAAGCUGGAGGAAGGUGGGGAUGACGUCAGGUCAUCAUGGCCCUUACGAGUAGGGCUACACACGUGCUACAAUGGCAUAUACAAAGAGAAGCGACCUCGCGAGAGCAAGCGGACCUCAUAAAGUAUGUCGUAGUCCGGAUUGGAGUCUGCAACUCGACUCCAUGAAGUCGGAAUCGCUAGUAAUCGUGGAUCAGAAUGCCACGGUGAAUACGUUCCCGGGCCU